rnacentral:rRNA from 1 species
UCUUGGUCAUUUAGAGGAAGUAAAAGUCGUAACAAGGUUUCCGUAGGUGAACCUGCGGAAGGAUCAUUAUCAAAACAGCGGACUUCGGUCCUUGCUGCACCCUUGUCUUUUGCGUACCGUAUGUUUCCUCGGCGGGCUUGCUGUCCGGUUGGACAUUAUCAAACCUUUUUGUAGUUGCAAUCAGCGUCAGAAAAUAAUAAUAAUUACAACUUUCAACAACGGAUCUCUUGGUUCUGGCAUCGAUGAAUAACGCAGCGAAAUGCGAAAAGUACUGUGAAUUGCAGAAUUCAGUGAAUCAUCGAAUCUUUGAACGCACAUUGCGCCCCUUGGUAUUCCAUGGGGCAUGCCUGUUCGAGCGUCAUUUUGUACCCUCAAGCACUGCUUGGUGUUGGGCGCUUGUCCAGCAAAGGACUCGCCUGAAAGCGAUUAACGGCCAACGUACUGGUGGUAGAGCGCAGCACAAUUUGCGUCUUUCCCCUCUGCGUUAGCGUCCAUGAAGCCUAUUUCAACGUUUGACCUCGGAUCAGGUAGGGAUACCCGCUGAACUUAAGCAUAUCAAUAAGCGGAGGAA